CCUGGUUGAUCCUGCCAGUAGUCAUAUGUUUGUCUCAAAGAUUAAGCCAUGCAUGUGUAAGUAUGAACGAAUUCAGACUGUGAAACCGCGGAAUGGCUCAUUAAAUCAGUUAUAGUUUGUUUGAUGGUAACUACUACCGGAUAACCGUAGUAAUUCUAGAGGUAAUACGCAACAGACCCCGACUUCUGGAAAGGAUGCAUUUAUUAGAUAAAAGGUCGACGCUGGCUCUGCCCGUUUGCUCUGAUGAUUCAUGAUAACUCGACGGAUCCCAUGGCCUUAGUGCUGGCGACGAUCAUUCAAAUUUCUGCCCUAUAAACUUUUCGAUGGUAGGAUAGUGUCCUACCAUGGUGGUAACGGGUGACGGAGAAUUAGGGUUCGAUUCGAGAGUGAGCCUGAGAAACGGCUACCACAUCCAGGGAAAGCAGUAAAAAUUACCCAAUCCUAACACGGGGAGGUAGUGACAAUAAAUAACAAUUCCGGCUCUUUGAGUCUGGUAAUUGGAAUGAGUACAGUCUAACUCCCUUUAACGAGGAUCCAUUGGAGGGCAAGUCUGGUGCCAGCAGCAUGUAAUUCCAGCCCAAUAGCGAUAUUUAAGUUGUUGCAACCUAAAAGCUCAGAAGUUGAACCUGGGGGGAUGGUCGCCUGGUCCGCCUUGGUGAGCACCGGUCGGCUUUGUCUCUUCUGUCGGCGAUAUGCUCAUGGCCUUAAAUGGCCGAGUCGUGCCUCCGGCGCUGUUACUUUGAAGAAAUUAGAGUGCUCAAAGCAAGCUUAUGCUCUGUAAACAUUAGCAUGGGAUAACAUCAUAGGAUUUCGAUCCUAUUGUGUUGGCCUUCGGGAUCGGAGUAAUGAUUAACAGGGACAGUUGGGAGCAUUCAGAUUUCAUAGUCGUGGGUGAAAUUAUUGGAUUUAUGAAAAACGAACAACCGCGAAAAGCAUUUGCCAAGGAUGUUUUCAUUAAUCAAGAACGAAAGUUGGGGGGCUCGAAGACGAUCAGAUACCGCCCUAGUCUCAACCAUAAAUGAUGCCGACCGGGAACAGCGGAUGUUGCUUUUAGGACUCCACUGGUACCUUAUGAGAAAUCUAAGUUUUUGGGUUCCAGGGGGAGUAUGGUCGCUGAUAUACCUUGGAUUUGACCCAUUUUUAUCCAUGGUAUAUUAGUAUUUUACUAUAUAUAUAUCUAUGUUUUCUACUCUUCUAGGUAUGUUUUCAGGUUCAGGUGCAUUUCGGAGUAAAGCUAUGACUUUGGAGCAUUUUGGAGCUUAAAGGACAUUUCACCCGAGCUGUACACAAGUACCAUCGAUCGAUGUCGAGACACCAGACGCGACAUUUUGGAUUCAGCAGACUUAAAAACUAAGGCCAGGCCAAAUUACCAAAAUGCCCUGACGAGUUUUUAACCUAGUAGAAUAUAUACUGCAAGUGUUUUGACGGCAGAAGAGAGCUUUUCUAGACCUAGUUUUGUUACAAGUUUCAUUUGGGAGAGAAGAUCACUUGUGAUUGGAACUCCUUGUUUCUAUUUCUUUUCAUCUAUUCUAUGAGUUUCCAUUUAUCUAUUGAUAUGAAUUGCUUUUGCUAUGUCCGAGUAGUUCAACUGUUAGAUCCAGGGGUUCAGAUAGGUUUGUGGGAUUAGCCCCAAACUAUAGAUCUGCCUUGUUGUGAUAUUCAUG
rnacentral:rRNA from 1 species